GCUGGGCAUCAUGGCACAUGCCUGUAAUCCCAGCAGCUCAGGAUGCUGAGGCAGGAGGAUCGCCAGUUCAAAGCUAGCCUCAGCAACUCAGCGAGACCCUGUCUCUA
rnacentral:sRNA from 1 species